rnacentral:rRNA from 1 species
GCAGAAAAGCUAGCCUAGACACACAAAUAAAUAACCAACCAUAAAUAACUGAAGAAACAACAACUAAAGCAUUUUUCCCCCCAAGUAUGGGCGACAGAAAAGGACUUACCAUAGAGCUAUAAAGAAAGUACCGCAAGGGAAAGCUGAAAAAGAAAUGAAAGAACCCACAAAGCAACGAAAAGCAGAGCCUAAGACUCGUACCUUUUGCAUCAUGAUUUAGCAAGUCCACCCCAAGCAAAAAGAAUUCCAGUUUGGAACCCCGAAACUAGACGAGCUACUCCGGGGCAGUCUAAAAGGACCAACCCGUCUCUGUGGCAAAAGAGUGGGAAGACCCCCGAGUAGGAGUGAAAGACCUACCGAGCCUAGUUAUAGCUGGUUGCUUAAGAAAUGAAUGUUAGUUCAGCCCCACAUAACCCUCCGACCGACAAUAAAAUUAACCACAAGGAAUAAAGCGAUAUGCGGGAGUUAGUCAAAGGGGGUACAGCUCCUUUGAAACAGGACACAACCUUACCAGGCGGACAAGGAUCAAAAUUCUACCAAAGGAUAAAACCCCUCAGUGGGCCUAAAAGCAGCCACCUGAAAAGAAAGCGUUAUAGCUCAAGGGAAAAUAAGCCAACAAUAACGACAAUAAAAUCCAAAUCCCCUAAAAAUAUUAAGCUAUUCUAUACCUAUAUAGAAAAAACAAUGCUAAAAUGAGUAAUAAGAGAGCAUUAAACUCCCUCCAAGCACAAGUGUAAAUCAGAACGGACCAACCGCUGAUAAUCAACAGACCCACAUUCCACGAGGGAACAGCAAUAAACCACCUAAACAGGAAAAUCUUGCAAUAAACAACUGUUAACCCAACACAGGAGUGCAACAAGGAAAGACUAAAAGGAGAAGAAGGAACUCGGCAAACACUUACCCCGCCUGUUUACCAAAAACAUCGCCUCUUGCUAACAAGAAUGUAUAAGAGGUCCCGCCUGCCCAGUGACCACUGCGUUUAACGGCCGCGGUAUCAUAACCGUGCGAAGGUAGCGUAAUCACUUGUCUUUUAAAUGAAGACCUGUAUGAAUGGCACCACGAGGGUUCAACUGUCUCCUUCCCCCAGUCAAUGAAAUUGAUCUGCCCGUGCAGAAGCGGACAUAUAGACAUAAGACGAGAAGACCCUGUGGAGCUUCAGGCUAAAAUUCAAACAUGUAAAGAAAUUUUUCACAAACAAAAGAAUACAAAACAAAUUUAAACCUGAUGCACAUGACCAAAUGCCUUCGGUUGGGGCGACCACGGGGAAGAGCAAAGCCCCCGAAUGGAAUGAAGUCACCUUCAGAACUAAGAGACACACCUCUAGGCAACAGAAAAUCUGACCAAAUAUGACCCGGGAUAAACAUUUAAACCCGAUCAAUGAACCAAGUUACCCCAGGGAUAACAGCGCAAUCCUUUCCCAGAGUCCCUAUCGACGAAAGGGUUUACGACCUCGAUGUUGGAUCAGGACAUCCUAAUGGUGAAGCCGCUAUUAAGGGUUCGUUUGUUCAACGAUUAACAGUCCUACGUGAUCUGAGUUCAGACCGGAGUAAUCCAGGUCGGUUUCUAUCUAUGACCUUGCUUCUCCCUAGUACGAAAGGACCGGGAAAAGAGGGCCUAUGCUAAAAACAAGCCCUAUCUCAACCUCCUGAAAACAAAUAAAAGAGACAAUGAGACACAACUCACCCAUCAAAGACAAUGAUAG